UGGGGAAUAUUGGACAAUGGGGGCAACCCUGAUCCAGCCAUGCCGCGUGUGUGAAGAAGGCCUUUUGGUUGUAAAGCACUUUAAGCAGGGGGGAGAGGCUAAUGGUUAAUACCCAUUAGAUUAGACGUUACCUGCAGAAUAAGCACCGGCUAACUCUGUGCCAGCAGCCGCGGUAAUACAGAGGGUGCGAGCGUUAAUCGGAAUUACUGGGCGUAAAGCGAGUGUAGGUGGCUCAUUAAGUCACAUGUGAAAUCCCCGGGCUUAACCUGGGAACUGCAUGUGAUACUGGUGGUGCUAGAAUAUGUGAGAGGGAAGUAGAAUUCCAGGUGUAGCGGUGAAAUGCGUAGAGAUCUGGAGGAAUACCGAUGGCGAAGGCAGCUUCCUGGCAUAAUAUUGACACUGAGAUUCGAAAGCGUGGGUAGCAAAACAGGAUUAGAUACCCUGGUAGUCCACGCCGUAAAACGAUGUCUACUAGCCGUUGGGGUCCUUGAGACUUUAGUGGCGCAGUUAACGCGAUAAGU
rnacentral:rRNA from 1 species